UGUCUUACUGUGCAGGGAGAAAGAUUUUAAAGAGUUUGGUCAUGCUAAUGUGUUCUCUGAAUUACUAACAGACUUGAAAGAAUUGGAGGACAGUGGGAUUGUUGCAUCAGAUGAAACUAGAGUCAAAGGAACUUUGUUUUGCAUCGCUGGUGAUAAUCUGGGUUCUCACUGUAUUGGUGGCUUCACUGAAAAUUUUAGUUCUUCAAAGUACUUCUGCAGGUACUGCCUGAUAACGAAAUCUGAAUUUCAGGGUGCUGACCCAAAUCUGUGUGGACCAGAACGUACCAAAGAGAACUACAACUCUGCUGUUGAUCGCCUCCAGAUUGACAAUACACCAGACGUCGAAGGAGUGAAGUUCAGACAUCUCGGAAAUGGGGGACAGCAUAAGAAGUUCCAUUACUAAGGUGCUGCCGGACCUGUCUGCCUCAAUCCUUGAAAUUGUACUGGAGGCACUACAAUCAUUAGGAGUGGAGACAUCUGAGGACUUGCAGUUCAUCAGUGAGACUGAUCUGAACUCUGUCCUGAGACCAGUUCAGGCAAGAAAACUGCUGGCUGCCUGGAAACAAACCACACCAAAUACGGGAC